rnacentral:lncRNA from 1 species
AUGGGAAAGACUAGAGAUCUCUUCAAGAAAAUUAGAGAUACCAAGGGAACAUUUCAUACAAAGAUGGGCUUGAUAAAGGACAGAAAUGGUAUGGACCUAACAGAAGCAGAAGAUAUUAAGAAGAGGUGGCAAGAAUACAUGGAAGAACUGUACAAAAAAGAUCUUCAUGACCCAGAUAAUCAUGAUGAUGUGAUCACUAAUCUAGAGCCAGACAUCUUGGAAUGUGAAGUCAAGUGGGCCUUAGAAAGCAUCACUAUGAACAAAGCUAGUGGAGGUGAUGGAAUUCCAGUUGAGCUGUUUCAAAUCCUGAAAGAUGCUGCUGUGAAAGUGCUGCACUCAAUAUGCCAGCAAGUUUGGAAAACUCAGCAGUGGCCACAAGACUCGAAAAGGUCACUUUUCAUUCCGAUUCCAAAGAAAGGCAAUGCAAAAGAAUGUUCAAACUACCGCACAAUUGCACUCAUCUCACACACUAGUAAAGUAAUGCUCAAAAUUCUCCAAGCCAGGCUUCAGCAAUAUAUGAACCAUGAACUUCCUGAUGUUCAAGCUGGUUUUAGAAAAGGCAGAGGAACCAGAGAUCAAAUUGCCAACAUGCGCUGGAUCAUGGAAAAAGCAAGAGAGUUCCAGAAAAACAUCUAUUUCUGUUUUAUUGACUAUGCCAAACACUUUGACUGUGUGGAUCACAAUCAACUGUGGAAAAUUCUGAAAGAGAUGGGAAUACCAGACCAUCUGACAUGCCUCUUGAGAAAUCUGUAUGCAGGUCAGGAAGCAACAGUUAGAACUGGACAUGGAACAACAGACUGGUUCCAAAUAGGAAAAGGAGUAUGUCAAGGCUGUAUAUUGUCACCCUGCUUAUUGAACUUCUAUGCAGAGUACAUCAUGAGAAACGCUGGGCUGGAAGAAGCACAAGCUGGAAUCAAGGUUGCCGGGAGAAAUAUCAAUAACCUCAGAUAUGCAGAUGACACCACCUUUCUGGCAGAAAGUGAAGAGGAACUAAAAAGCCUCUUGAUGAAAGUAAAAGAGGAGAGCGAAAAAGUUGGCUUAAAGUUAAAUAUUCAGAAAACUAAGAUCAUGGCAUCCAGUCUCAUCACUUCAUGGCAAAUAGAUGGGGAAACAGUGUCAGACUUUAUUUUUUGGGGCUCCCAAAUCACUGCAGAUGGUGAUUGCAGCCAUGAAAUUAAAAGACAUUUACUCCUUGGAAGAAAAGUUAUGACCAACCUAGAUAGCAUAUUGAAAAGCAGAGACAUUACUUUGCCAACUAAGGUCCGUCUAGUCAAGGCUAUGGUUUUUCCUGUGGUCAUGUAUGGAUGUGAGAGUUGGAGUGUGAAGAAAGCUGAGCACCAAAGAAUUGAUGCUUUUGAACUGUGGUGUUGUAGAAGACUCUUGAGAGUCCCUUGGACUGCAAGGAGAUCCAACCAGUCCAUUCUGAAGGAGAUCAACCCUGGGAUUCCUUUGGAAGGAAUGAUGCUAAAGCUGAAGCUCCAAUACUUUGGCCACCUCAUGCGAAGAGUUGACUCAUUGGAAAAGACUCUGCUGCUGGGAGGGAUUGAGGGCAGGAGGAGAAGGGGACAACCGAGGAUGAGAUAG